rnacentral:rRNA from 1 species
GGCCUACCAUGGUGGUAACGGGUAACGGGGUGUUAGGGCACGACACCGGAGAGGGAGCCUGAGAAACGGCUACCACAUCCAAGGAUGGCAGCAGGCGCGCAAAUUACCCAAUCCCGACACGGGGAGGUAGUGACAAUAAAUAACAAUACGGGGUUCUUUCGGAUCUCGUAAUUGGAAUGAGUACAAUUUAAAUCUCUUAACGAGGAACAAUUGGAGGGCAAGUCUGGUGCCAGCAGCCGCGGUAAUUCCAGCUCCAAUAGCGUAUAUUAAAGUUGUUGCAGUUAAAAAGCUCGUAGUUGAAUUUCGGGGUUAGUAGGUUGGUCAUGCCUCUGGUAUGUACUGGUCUCACUGAUUCCUCCUUCCUGAUGAACCGUAAUGCCAUUAAUUUGGUGUUGCGGGGAAUUUGGACUGUUACUUUGAAAAAAUUAGAGUGUUUAAAGCAAGCUAACGCUUGAAUACAUUAGCAUGGAAUAAUGAAAUAGGACGUUCGAUCCUAUUUUGUUGGUUUCUAGGAUUGACGUAAUGAUUAAUAGGGAUAGUUGGGGGCAUUAGUAUUCAAUUGUCAGAGGUGAAAUUCUUGGAUUUAUUGAAGACUAACUNCUGCGAAAGCAUUUGCCAAGGAUGUUUUCAUUAAUCAAGAACGAAAGUUAGGGGAUCGAAGACGAUCAGAUACCGUCGUAGUCUUAACCAUAAACUAUGCCGACUAGGGAUCGGAUGAUGUUAAUUUUUUUUUUNCUCAUUCGGCGCCUUACG